AGUCAUCGACCCAGACCGUUUGUUGCGGUCGACGGUUGGAUCUGGGGUGUGCUGCCGUGAGGCUGCUCCCCUCAAAUGUGUCGGUCGGACCUGUGGGUCGGACUCGAAUGGGCGUUGUACCAUCCUCGCUCUCCCGAGAAGUUCCCCUUCUGGCGCGUCCUUCCAAGACCCUGCCUUUGGAGUGGCGGUCAAACUGUACUUUGAA
rnacentral:misc_RNA from 1 species